AUUAUUGUAAGGCUACCAGCUACAGUUAUCUCCUCACGACACUCUGUUCGCGGGAGGCCUAAGGCGCCUACACAGCGAAAAGGUUUGAGAGUGAAACCCUAGAUUUCUUACGACGCCGAUGGCUAACGAUACUGCUCACAGGAAGUACCGCCGAUCUGCUUCUGAUGAGGAGGACGGUCAAUCUUCGAAGCGUCACAAACACCGUCACCAUCGCCGCCACCACAGACAUCGUCACAGCAGCAAUAAGAAUGAAGAAGAAAGCUGCCGUGACCAGGAGGACAGUGUUCCUCCUGUUGCUAAUCGUUGGUCUCGACCCCAAGAUGACGUCGAGGAAGGUGAAAUUCUCGAGGAGGAUGAGUCCGGCGUUCGCGAGAAUGAGAGCGCGAUGAAGGAGGCGGAUAUGGAAGUUGGGGAACUUGAAGCUGAUAAAAAUUCUGAUAGAAUUGUCCGGCCCACUAAGGAGUGUCAUUCGGUGGAUGAAUCAUCUAAUAUCGAGGCUAAUUUAACUGUGAAGGAGGGAGCAGUAAACAGUCCUCAGGAUCAGAAAACCUCGAAAAUGGACAGUAAGUUCUAUAAUUUAGAUAAGGACAAAGGUGGCUCUUAUCUAAAAAAAGACAGAGACAAGGAAAUCAGGUUGCUCGAUCAAACUGAGUCUGACUGUAAGCAUGGCAAUGAUGUUAGCUUUUCCAUAAGUGAAAUGACUGGAAUUAAAUACAAUGAUCUUGAAUGUUGCCGAGAGGAUCAUCUCAAAGAUGGUUAUGAUCAUAAAUCUAUGGAGUUAGAUGAGAGGCAGAACAAACAAAUGUUAUCUCCUUCCAAAUGGGGUAUUAAGAAAAUAAGCAACAAUGACCAUGGAAAGGUGGCAACAGAUGGAAGCACUUUGAGUUAUUUGAAAAGGCCACAGUUAGAAAGGGCAGAAGACAAGUCUCAGGAUUUGACGCCAUCAACAUCUCAUGAUCGAUUCAUUGACACAUCAGAUUGCAGGAGUAGAUCAAGGUCAAAUUGUCAUUCUAGGGGGCAAUCUCAUUCUCGUGAAACAGUAGAAGAGGAGGCAGAGUCAAGGAGAAGACAUCAUCAUGGUUGGGAUCACGCAAUAUUUGAUGAUAAAAGUAAAAUUCAUAAUGACUUGGAUGACGGUUAUACUGAUCGUGCUAGGAAUGAAGGAAGGCAACAAAGCAGGGAUACGAAGGACAGACGGAGAAGUAAGAUGGAGGUGGAUAGGGACUGGUCAAAGGAAAAUGAAAUGGAAAAAAACAAAGAUAAAGAUAGGGGUAUAGAUAAGCAAAAGUAUGAUGAGAGAGAGAGAGGAAGAAGUAGGGAUAGAAGAAAGGAGAUGGAACAAAAUAGGAGCAAGGAAAGAGAGUUGGAAAGGAAUAGGAGGAGGGAAAGGGAUGUGGAAAGAGAUAGGAGAGUGAAGGAAAGAGAUAGAAGAGUGGAGAGGGAAAGAGAGGUGGAAAGGGAUAGAAGAGUGGAGAGGGAUAGAGAGGUGGAAAGAGAUAGAAGAGUGGAGAGGGAUAGAGGUUGGAGCAAGGAAAGAGAGUUGGAUGGGGAUAGAAGAGCAGAAAAGGAAAGAUGUAGGAGCAGAGAUAGAGAGGGUAAUAGGGAUAGAAGAAGAGAAAUGGAAAAAGAUAGGAGCAAGGACACAGAAGUGGAUUGGAAUGUGAGAAGAGAUAAGGAGAGGGAUCGGAAUGACAAUAAGGCUGAAUAUAGUGAUAGGAAUAGAGACAGGGAAAGGGUGAGAGAGAUGCAGAAGGACCGGUUUAGGGAUACAGAAUUAGAUAGGGAGAGACGAGACAAUAGAAACAAAAAUGAAGCCAGCGACAUUGUAAGUAGUAAAGACAAGUAUGGGAUUCUUGAGCAUGGCUAUGCUAAAGGUUCUAAGCAGCCUAGGCAUUAUGAUAAUGAAUCUGGUCAGGAUGGGGGACGAGUUAAUGCUGUUGGAAAGCAUGGUAGUUUUAAGAGAAUUAGUCUGGAAGGAGGUGAAGACAAGCUAGUGAGUGAUCACGAUGAGGAGGAAGAGGACGGAGACAGCAUGUCAUUUCAAUUAGCUGAUCAAGAAGAGGAGGAUCUUAACAGAAUCAAGGAGGAGAGUAGAAGACGGAGGCAAGCAAUCUUAGAAAAGUACAAAUGCCAGCAGUUGGAGAAACAAGUAGAGCCUUCUUUGAAGGAAUCUGAGAAAGAUAAGGAUUCUGCAAAUGAUUCUUCUCAAUCAGAAGCUGCUGCUCAUGCUGUUCCAAAAUUGGUUGAUGGGGCUGUGGAUGAUAGUGUUGCUGACUCAUCUUUUAUUGUGGAGAAAUCACCACAUCAAAAUGGAGUAGCUGCAUCUGAUAACACUGCUGGUACUAAAGGACUUGGAGAGGGUACUCCAAAGGCUGAGGGAUCAGAUGGAUUAUUCUGUGAUGACAUUUUUGGAGAAACACCUGCUGCAGUUCGUAAAAUGGGCAAAGGCGAUGGUUUGCAGAUAGAGAGGAGUGGCUUUCAUGACAAUUGGGAUGAUGCAGAUGGAUAUUAUAACUAUCGGUUUGGUGAAGUGCUUGAUAGUCGAUAUGAAAUAGCUGCUGCUCAUGGAAAAGGUGUCUUUUCAACUGUAGUCCGUGCAAAGGAUCUCAAAGCUGGUCAUGGCGAACCAGAAGAAGUGGCAAUCAAAAUUUUACGUAGUAAUGAAACAAUGUACAAGGCUGGUCUGGAGGAGUUGGUCAUAUUGAAAAAGCUAGUAGGUGCAGAUCCAGAUGACAAGCGUCACUGUGUUCGUUUUCUUUCAAGUUUCAAAUAUAGGAAUCAUCUUUGUUUAGUUUUUGAAUCUCUUCAUAUGAAUCUCCGUGAGGUCUUGAAGAAAUUUGGGCGCAAUAUUGGCCUUAAGCUAACUGCUGUGAGGGCAUACGCUAAGCAGCUUUUUAUUGCCCUGAAGCAUUUAAGAAACUGUGGUGUUCUACACUGUGACAUAAAGCCGGAUAAUAUGCUGGUUAACGAGGGAAAAAAUGUUCUGAAGCUUUGUGAUUUUGGAAAUGCGAUGUUUGCUGGUAAAAAUGAAAUCACGCCAUACCUUGUUAGCCGGUUUUAUCGUGCCCCUGAAAUAAUUUUAGGGUUGCCAUAUGACCAUCCAAUGGAUAUCUGGUCUGUGGGUUGCUGUUUGUACGAGCUUUCUACAGGAAAAGUUCUUUUUCCUGGUCCUUCUAAUAAUGACAUGCUGCGUCUACACAUGGAAUUAAAGGGCCCCUUUCAGAAAAAGAUGCUUCGUAAGGGAGCAUUUACUGAGCAACAUUUUGACCAGGACCUGAACUUCCAUGCUUCUGAAGAGGAUCCUGUAACCAAAAAGACCAUAAAGCGAAUAAUAGUCAAUAUAAAGCCUAAAGAUAUUGGAUCAAUUAUUAGGGGAUCUCCUGGUGAAGAUCCAAAGAUGUUAGCCAAUUUUAAGGAUCUUCUAGACAAAAUUUUUGUGUUGGAUCCAGAAAAAAGGAUGACAGUAUCACAAGCAUUGAAUCAUCCAUUCAUCACUGUCUUCCUUAUGAUGACCUAAGCUUCUGGCACACUUAUGGGAUGAUUGAAUUCAGAAGAGGUCAUAUUGGUCAAGAGUGGCGGGUUCUUUCAGUGGAAUGUACUGUUUCUAUUGAUCUCUGCUUCUGCUCUGAGAGAACCUUCCAGUGCUUAAGUGAUUUAGAGGCACUCUGGAGAAGUCGUUUAUGGAAGCACCCGCAUUGGAGAGGUUAACCACUGUGGCACCAUGUGAAGUAGUGUUGGAGGCGAACUGCAUAUCAUCCCCAUUAUCUUGUAAGUAUUUCCAAUUCCAUAUAACUAUUGCAAGGUUAUAAUAUUCUUGUGUAUGAUUUCUUAGUAAAAGUGCAAUGAUGCCAGGUAGUGAAAAUAUGAAGGAUAAUAGCUCGAUUUCCUUUCCAUCUUCAGGAUAUGAUAAAUACUUGUCUUAUGCAUAAUAAUUUGAUUAUAAUGGAAGCAUUAGAUUAUCAGAUAUCAUGAACCAAAAAGCAUUGAAUGAAUAUGAAAUAAAUAGAUGUUUUAAAAUAGUAAUGAAUUUUUGUAUCAAUAUUUAUGGAAGGCUGACAUAUUUAAGGAAGUUUUAUUUUUAUCAUUGAAGUGUUACAGUGAUUUAAAUUUCUUCUAUGAUGUAUCAUAAAAAUGGUCCAUCAUUUUAUUAGAAAUAAGAUGCAUAAAAAAUAGUGAACCAUAUGUAUAUCUGUUGGAUAAAAAAGCUUUCGAUUAGGGAUGCGUGUAUACAGAAGGAUGAUGAUCAAUCAACCCAAAAGCCUUCUGCUAUUAUUUCGAAGGUGAGAUGGAAGUUACUAGAAAUCAUAAAUUCUGGUGUUCCUGUGGUAAGAAUAUUGUGAUUAGGAUUUUUUUUUUUUUUCCCGUAAAUUUCAUUUAUAUCCAUUAAUUGUAGUUUCACAUAUGAAAUGCUAUGCUAAAGCACAUCACAAGUUGAUUUCUUUGCCACUCAAAUUAGUUGGUUAAAGGAAUAAUUCUACUCAAAAUCACAUUUACUUGUCCAGAAAAUUCUACUAGAAUUCGUAUACCUUUAUUCAUAGAGUGCAAUCUAUUUCAUGCCGAAUUGCCAAGAAGCUUUAGCUUAUAAUUGAGACCAAGAGUUUGAAUUUUGAAUUAUGUUAUUAUCGUUUUAAAAUUCAAUAGAAAAAUAAUGAAUAAAUCUUAAUAUAUAUAUAUAUAUAUAUAUAUAAUUUGAAUAAAAUAGGACUUAUGAAAAUCAAAAGUCUGGGAUUAUGGGCUGGCCCGGACUUAAAGAUAAGACUUUUGAAGAAAGGCCAUACAAAAUAGGUAAUUUUAGAUGAUUUCGGAGGAGAAGAGUAAAAGAUUGAAAAUCAAAUGGCCUUGUGAGAUGCCUCUUGUUUCUGUGGUUUGGAGUGUUGGAUUGUGAAGGUAUUUAUCAGUUAUGAACACAAUCCAAUGAGGUUCUUUGUUUCUUUGCUGGAGGCUUUCUAAUGCGUGCUUGUUAUAAUCAUUUCUCGUGGUAUUGACUACGAAGGUUUAAUAUCUAGUUCAUUUCACUGUUUGGUCUAGUUAUGUCGAUUAUAUUCAAGGUCACUGAUUUCACUCUCCUCCAUAUAGCUUAUUAUUUAAUGUUGCUUACUCUCUAAUUACCUGUUUUGUUUAAUUGCUUCUCCACAAGUGAAUUCCUGAAAGUGAUUGAAGUUCUUUUACUCCUCCUCCAGUAUUUGUUUAUUUGACACCUACAGUUUAGAUGAUUUCAAGGUUUCAGAAAAAUGCCCCUCUUGGGUUUGUUCAGUACCAAUCCCUCUAGCUUGGAUUGAAUUGUUUAUUCUCAUACUAUUAUAUCUGUUAACUGCCCGUUUAAGUUUUAUUUUGCUAUCAAAUUCUGUUAGAUUCUCAGUACGAAUUUAAUGUGUAUCUACACAUUGGAAUUGAUUGUAAUUUGAUCUUUUGUUCUGUUGCAUCGUGGUUAGGAUAUCAGUUGUCGCAUUAAUUAUGCACAUGGUAUAUUGUUGGACUCUCAUGCGUUAAUGACAUAAUGUUAUGGACAUUUCCGUUUUUUUUUUUUUUUUUUCGCGUCUUUUACAUACUUGUUAUACUAGUAAUUUUUGGGAUCUUAAUUUGAUUGCAUUUAAGACAAGUGGAUAAUACACAUGCACGAUAAUUACUCCCUGUGAUAAAUUUCAGAGUUCUUUACAGGCAGGUCUAUUUGUUUCUGUUGCCGUAUAUCUUUUCAUCAAGAAUUUCUUUUCUUUAUUUGUAUUGGCAGCAUGAAGCCUAAGCCUAAGUCAUUUCUCCUCUCUGCUUUCCAUUAAGCAGCUUAUACUCGUACUGUUAGAGGAUGCUUAAUGUCUGUCUUCAUCCUACGGAGAUUAACUUUCUAAGGACUUAAUCUAUAGUUUAGUACUGGUUUUUUUGUGCUGGUUAACUGUAACAUUGGGUUAAAGCAGGUGCCGUAUCUUGUGUUCUGUUGUGUCCAAUGCUGUAUAGUUUACAAUUUCAUCUCCAAUGAGGUGCGUAUGGCUCGGUGUAAUCAGAAGCAUUGCUUUUCAAGCUCCCGUAAAAAUUAAUUUCCAGGAGCAAGAUGCUGGUACAAUUUUCCCUGGGAUUAUCCCGAUCACCCGUUCAUCAGAAUUGAUCCCUAUCUCUGAAGAUUUUAGUUCAUGUUGAUAACAUUGUACCAACCAAAUUCUGUGAAUAAACUAGUUUUAUUAAUACAUGUCUGUGAAAUGCUUAAUUUAAUUCGACA